CAUCAACCAGCAAACAGCAACAGGUGGAAUCAGAGAGCAUCACAGCUUCAAUCACUGCAGUAAAGACAAAUCUACGGCAGACAAAACCUUAAAGCAUCUUUCCAAAAUGAUGAAGAUCUGUCUCAUUCUUCUUCUGUGUGUCGCCACUGGCAAUGCACAGACCACCACAGCUGCCCCGACAACAACCACAGCUGCUCCAACAACAACCACAGAUGCUCCAACAACAACCACAGAUGCUCCAACAACAACCACAGCUAC